UACGUAGGGGGCAAGCGUUGUCCGGAUUUAUUGGGCGUAAAGAGCGUGUAGGCGGCCUUACAGGUCAGCUGUGAAAACUCGAGGCUCAACCUCGAGACGUCGGUUGAAACCGUAUGGCUAGAGUCCGGAAGAGGAGAGUGGAAUUCCCGGUGUAGCGGUGAAAUGCGCAGAUAUCGGGAGGAACACCAGUGGCGAAGGCGGCCCGCUGGCCAAGGACUGACGCUGAGACGCGAAAGCGUGGGGAGCAAACAGG
rnacentral:rRNA from 1 species